UACGAAGGGGGCUAGCGUUGCUCGGAAUCACUGGGCGUAAAGGGUGCGUAGGCGGGUUUUUAAGUCAGGGGUGAAAUCCUGGAGCUCAACUCCGGAACUGCCUUUGAUACUGAAGAUCUUGAGUUCGGGAGAGGUGAGUGGAACUGCGAGUGUAGAGGUGAAAUUCGUAGAUAUUCGCAAGAACACCAGUGGCGAAGGCGGCUCACUGGCCCGAUACUGACGCUGAGGCACGAAAGCGUGGGGAGCAAACAGG
rnacentral:rRNA from 1 species